rnacentral:rRNA from 1 species
AACCUGGUUGAUCCUGCCAGUAGUCAUAUGCUUGUCUCAAAGACUCAAGCCAUGCAUGUCUAAGUAUAAGUAUUAUACAGCGAAACUGCGAAUGGCUCAUUAAAACAGUUAUAAUUUAUUUGAUAAUCGAAUUUACAUGGAUAACUGUGGUAAUUCUAGAGCUAAUACAUGCUGGUAGGCCCGACUUUUUGGAAGGGCGGUAUUUAUUAGAUAACAAACCAAUAUUCCUCUGGUCUAUUGUGGUGAAUCAUAAUAACUGAUCGAAUCGCAAGGUUUUAACCGCGAUAAGUCAUUCAAGUUUCUGCCCCAUCAGCUUUCGAUGGUAGUGUAUUGGACUACCAUGGC